GGGGGCGACCGGUUUCGACGUGUGUCGUGACAUUGGUGUUGCGUGCCCAGGUACUCGAGCACCUGGUAAAACACUCGGGAAAAUCAUUACCUGCCAACGACAACUUGGCGCUUGCUGCGUAACUUCUAGUUACGUCCAGCAGUGCCUAGCGAGAAGCUCUCCUGAGGCGGCUUGCUAGGUAUCGCAAAUUCGGGAUAGUCCGGCGUCGCGUCUUCCGGCGACGGGCGAAGCAUCAGAAGACUUGUCCGGACGACGGCCCGUCCAUCGGCCAGCGUUUGGAGACACUCAACGAUGGACUACGCACGUAGACGCGCUGGUGAAGCUAUGCUCGGACGGGAGUUCGAUUCUCCCCGCCUCCACUG
rnacentral:tmRNA from 1 species